AUUCCGGUUGAUCCUGCCGGAGGCCAUUGCUAUCGGAGUCCGAUUUAGCCAUGCUAGUCGCACGGGCUCAGACCCGUGGCAGAUAGCUCAGUAACACGUGGCCAAACUACCCUACAGAUCGUGAUAACCUCGGGAAACUGAGGCUAAUAACGAAUACAGCUCACAGAUUUGAAUAUCGUGAGCUGGAAACGCUACGGCGCUGUAGGAUGUGGCUGCGGCCGAUUAGGCAGACGGUGGGGUAACGGCCCACCGUGCCGAUAAUCGGUACAGGUGGUGAGAGCCAGAGCCUGGAGACGGAAUCUGAGACAAGAUUCCGGGCCCUACGGGGCGCAGCAGGCGCGAAACCUUUACACUGCACGACAGUGCGAUAAGGGGACUCCGAGUGCGAGGGCAUAUAGUCCUCGCUUUUGUCGACCGUAAGGUGGUCGACGAAUAAGGACUGGGCAAGACCGGUGCCAGCCGCCGCGGUAAUACCGGCAGUCCGAGUGAUGGUCGACAUUAUUGGGCCUAAAGCGUCCGUAGCUGGCCGAGCAAGUCUGUCGGGAAAUCCAGUAGCUCAACUACUGGACGUCCGGUGGAAACUGUUCGGCUUGGGACCGGAAGAUCCAAGGGGUACGUCCGGGGUAGGAGUGAAAUCCUGUAAUCCUGGACGGACCACCGAUGGCGAAAGCACCUUGGAAGCACGGAUCCGACAGUGAGGGACGAAAGCUAGGGUCUCGAACCGGAUUAGAUACCCGGGUAGUCCUAGCCGUUAACGAUGCCCGCUAGGUUUGGCGCAGGCUACGAGCCUGCGCUGUGCCGAAGUGAAGACGUAAGCGGGCCGCCUGGGAAGUACGUCCGCAAGGAUGAAACUUAAAGGAAUUGGCGGGGGAGCACUACAACCGGAGGAGCCUGCGGUUUAAUUGGACUCAACGCCGGACAUCUCACCAGCACCGACAACAGUGAUGACGGUCAGCUUAACGAGCUUACCCGCGACGCUGUUGAGAGGAGGUGCAUGGCCGCCGUCAGCUCGUACCGUGAGGCAUCCUGUUAAGUCAGGCAACGAGCGAGACCCGUAUCCGUAAUUGCCAGCAAUACCCUUGUGGUAGUUGGGUACUUUACGGAGACUGCCACGGCUAACGUGGAGGAAGGAGCGGGCAACGGUAGGUCAGCAUGCCCCGAAUGUGCUGGGCAACACGCGGGCUACAAUGGCCGGGACAACGGGUCGCGACGCCGAGAGGCGGAGCUAAUCCCUUAAACCCGGUCGUAGUUCGGAUUGUGGGCUGAAACUCGCCCACAUGAAGCUGGGUUCGGUAGUAAUCGCGUGUCAGAAGCGCGCGGUGAAUCCGUCCCUGCCCCUUGCACACACCGCCCGUCAAAGCACCCGAGUGAGGUCCGGAUGAGGCCUGGAUUCCCAGGUCGAAUCUGGGCUUCGCAAGGGGGCUUAAGUCGUAACAAGGUAGCCGUAGGGGAAUCUGCGGCUGGAUCACCUCCU
rfam:Halomicrobium zhouii 16S ribosomal RNA gene, partial sequence.